UACGUAGGGUCCGAGCGUUGUCCGGAAUUAUUGGGCGUAAAGAGCUCGUAGGUGGUUCGGUAAGUCGGGUGUGAAAACUCUGGGCUCAACCCAGAGACGCCACCCGAUACUGCCGUGACUAGAGUCUGGUAGGGGAGUGUGGAAGUUCCUAGUGUAGCGGUGAAAUGCGCAGAUAUUAGGAGGAACACCAGUGGCGAAGGCGGCACUCUGGGCCAGUACUGACACUGAGGAGCGAAAGCGUGGGUAGCGAACAGG
rnacentral:rRNA from 1 species